GUUGCGUGCUCGCUCGCGCCAGGCGAGUCUCCGCGUCUCCCUCGCGAACUCGGUGAAAGGAAUUGGCGCCGUUCGACAACCAGGCGGGUCCGCUCUGCAGCACGAACCCAUCUCCAGCCGCAGCUGCCGCCCGGGCCGAGGAGCAGCCGUCGCCGCCGCCACCAGUGGCCGAGGGAGCGGAGCCGAGGUUGAACCAGCACCCAGCGGUGAAUCGGGGCCCUCACCAUGAGUUCCUCGCCUGUUAAUGUAAAAAAGCUGAAGGUGUCGGAGCUGAAAGAGGAGCUCAAGAAGCGGCGCCUUUCCGACAAGGGUCUCAAGGCCGAGCUCAUGGAUCGACUCCAGGCUGCGCUGGACGACGAGGAGGCCGGAGGCCGCCCCGCCAUGGAGCCCGGGAACGGCAGCCUAGACCUGGGCGGGGAUUCCGCCGGGCGCUCGGGAGCAGGCCUCGAGCAGGAGGCCGCGGCCGGAGGCGACGAGGAGGAAGAGGAGGAGGAAGAAGGGAUUGCCGCGCUGGACGGCGACCAGAUGGAGCUAGGGGAGGAGAACGGGGCCGCGGGGGCGGCCGACUCGGGCCCGAUGGAGGAGGAGGAGGCCGCCUCGGAAGACGAGAACGGCGACGAUCAGGGUUUCCAGGAAGGGGAAGACGAGCUCGGAGACGAGGAGGAGGGCGCGGGCGACGAGAACGGGCACGGGGAGCAGCAGCCUCAACCGCCGGCGACGCCGCAGCAACAGCCCCCACAGCAGCGCGGGGCCGCCAAGGAGGCCGCGGGGAAGAGCAGCGGCCCCACCUCGCUGUUCGCGGUGACGGUGGCGCCGCCCGGGGCGAGGCAGGGCCAGCAGCAGGCGGGAGGUAAGAAGAAGGCGGAAGGCGGCGGAGGCGGCGGUCGCCCCGGGGCUCCGGCGGCGGGAGACGGCAAAACAGAACAGAAAGGCGGAGAUAAAAAGAGAGGUGUUAAAAGACCUCGAGAAGAUCAUGGCCGAGGAUAUUUUGAGUACAUUGAAGAAAACAAGUACAGCAGAGCCAAGUCUCCUCAGCCACCUGUUGAAGAAGAAGAUGAGCACUUCGAUGACACAGUGGUUUGUCUUGAUACUUAUAAUUGUGAUCUACAUUUUAAAAUAUCAAGAGAUCGCCUCAGUGCUUCUUCCCUUACUAUGGAGAGUUUUGCUUUUCUUUGGGCUGGAGGAAGGGCAUCUUAUGGUGUGUCAAAAGGCAAAGUCUGCUUUGAGAUGAAGGUUACAGAGAAGAUCCCAGUAAGGCAUUUAUAUACUAAAGAUAUUGACAUACAUGAAGUUCGAAUUGGCUGGUCACUGACUACAAGUGGAAUGUUGCUUGGUGAAGAAGAAUUUUCGUAUGGGUAUUCUCUAAAAGGAAUAAAAACAUGCAACUGUGAGACAGAAGAUUACGGAGAGAAGUUUGAUGAAAAUGAUGUUAUUACAUGUUUCGCUAAUUUUGAAAAUGAUGAAGUAGAACUCUCCUAUGCUAAGAAUGGACAAGAUCUUGGUGUUGCCUUCAAAAUUAGUAAGGAAGUUCUUGCUGGACGGCCACUCUUUCCACAUGUUCUCUGCCACAACUGUGCAGUUGAAUUUAAUUUUGGUCAGAAGGAAAAGCCAUAUUUUCCAAUACCUGAAGACUAUACUUUUAUCCAAAAUGUCCCCUUAGAGGAUCGAGUUAGAGGACCAAAGGGGCCUGAAGAGAAGAAAGAUUGUGAAGUUGUGAUGAUGAUUGGCUUGCCAGGAGCUGGAAAAACUACCUGGGUGACAAAACAUGCAGCUGAAAAUCCUGGUAAAUACAACAUUCUUGGAACAAAUACAAUUAUGGAUAAAAUGAUGGUGGCAGGUUUUAAGAAGCAAAUGGCAGAUACUGGAAAACUGAACACACUGUUGCAAAGAGCCCCACAGUGUCUUGGAAAGUUUAUUGAGAUUGCUGCCCGUAAGAAGCGAAAUUUCAUUCUGGAUCAGACAAAUGUAUCUGCUGCUGCCCAGAGGAGAAAAAUGUGCCUGUUUGCAGGUUUCCAACGAAAAGCUGUUGUAGUUUGUCCAAAAGAUGAAGACUAUAAGCAGAGAACACAGAAGAAAGCAGAAGUAGAGGGGAAAGACCUACCAGAGCAUGCAGUCCUUAAAAUGAAAGGAAACUUUACUCUGCCAGAAGUGGCUGAGUGCUUUGAUGAAAUAACCUAUGUUGAACUUCAGAAGGAAGAAGCCCAAAAACUUCUGGAGCAAUAUAAGGAAGAAAGCAAAAAGGCACUUCCACCAGAAAAGAAACAGAACACUGGCUCAAAGAAGAGCAAUAAAAACAAGAGUGGCAAGAACCAGUUUAACCGAGGUGGUGGCCACAGAGGACGUGGAGGAUUCAAUAUGCGUGGUGGAAACUUCAGGGGAGGAGCUCCUGGAAAUCGUGGUGGAUAUAAUAGGCGGGGCAACAUGCCACAGAGAGGUGGUGGCGGUGGUGGAAGUGGCGGAAUUGGCUAUCCCUACCCUCGUGGCCCUGUUUUUCCUGGCCGAGGUGGCUACUCAAACAGAGGGAACUACAACAGAGGUGGAAUGCCCAACAGAGGGAACUAUAACCAGAAUUUCAGAGGACGAGGAAACAAUCGUGGCUACAAAAAUCAAUCUCAGGGCUACAACCAGUGGCAGCAGGGUUCUGUCCAUGUGAAUGUGCUGUGUGGAAGAGUAAAAGGGCCCAACUAAAUGUGUUCCAGUGAUUCUAAUAGGUAUUCCAAAUUAAUUGAUGCUUGUAUAUUUAACAGUUGUUAUGUUAGGUUUCCGGGAUCACCUUAAUAAAACUUACUAAAAGAUGGGGAAGAAUAAUUGGUAACCUUGAUGUACAGGUUAUAUAACAAAGUUUCCUAAUUUCUCCCUUGAAUACCUGAAGUGAAAUACUUGGUGUUUUCUUUGCAGUCGAUGGUACUCUUGCAUAUAGGAAUACAUGCAAAGACCCAAGUCCUUUCCUUCUGUUUAACUUUUUAUACAACACAUAAUAUUCUCCCUACUUGUAGCAGUUAAUAUUUCCAGAGUUCCGAUGUGAAAUAGGUGUAGGAUACUUUUCUGUCUUUAGUUUCCCAAAAUCUUUGUUCUUUUUAUACUAAAUAUAUAGAAAAACCAGGAAAACAGACUUGAGGUCCUUUUGGGUAAUGAAGUGAUAUAAAUUCAUAUUUCAAAGUGUAAAAUCAACUAGAAACUAAAUUUUGAACUUUUGGUAUGAGCUAUGCCCGUCCAGAGCAUUUAAUCUAUUCUAAGUCCAAAGUUAUUAAAGACUUGAUAAGCUUAGAGGAAAUUUAUUUUUCCCCCACUAUAUUCUCCAGAAUAAUGUCUUCAGGUGAAACAAGAGGACUUGGGUGCAGGUCUGAUAACAGUGUCACUAUCAGGAUUUGCUCAAUGCAAUAUGGCUCUACUCUUAAAAAAUCAACUUAAUGGCUUCUAAAGAGCAGGCACCUCAAGGUUUCAUGACCAUUUCUGUUUUUAUGAGGAAAAACCGUAAUAGAAAAAUAAACAUUUUUUUCAAAAAUGAGCUUUGAAUUUAUGUGGUAAGGCAUGUUUUGUUUCACAUGAUUUCAUGGUAUAGUGCAAGAAACAUUUCUAUGGAAACCCAUCCUUCCUUUAAGAAAUCAGUGUGUGCAGAGAAUGAUAUCCCCUAAGGGUGUGCCAUGUAAUAGGUGGUUUAUUAGAACUUAAUUCCUAGAAACACGGCGGAAGAGAUGCCACCCUAUAGGUUGACCUACACUUAAAGUGAACAAAAGAAAUCUUUCGACUAUUAAUGUAAUCAGUGAUAACCUCAAGAUACUCAGUGUCAUCCUUACUCUAGAAAAUGGAAGAGUAAGGUGAAUGCAGUGGUUGAAAAGCACUCAACUAUUUGAAACAUUGUAGUGCUCACAUUAUAAGCUUUAAAAUGGAGUUCUCUGAAAAAUGUCCUCAAUGUAAUUUAUUCCAGCAGCUUUCCCUUAUUAAGAAAAAGUUUUAAAACAUUUCAAAGUGGAAUUUAAUGUACAAAACAAGCUGUGUAAAAAUACCAGUAUUUGGGUGGUAGUGGAUAUAUUAUUGACACAUUGAACUGCUAAUUAUUGGACUAUUUUAAGAUGCUUCCAAAAAUUAUUUCAUUCUAGAGGACCAUUAUAAACCAGAGUUAUAGCAAUUGUUUUAAUUUUUCUACUUUCCUCAUUAAGGUCUGCUUUACCCAAAGAAUAGUGUAUAUUUUAACAUGACUUAAAGGGGUGUUUACCCCAUCACAGAUUUUUAUCUGGGAAUAGAAGGAUUCAAACCCUAUUUGAUCCCUAGCUCUUUGCUGAAAAGUGCAUAAACAGGAAUCCUGAAUUUAUUAUAUAGACCUCCUCGCAUUAUAUAAUCGAAGCAAAGGGAAACCAGCGAUGGAGUUAGAGGUACGUAGACUAAAGAGAUGCUUGCAAAUACAAUAAUGGUUCUAGAGUAGUCAAGAUUUCUUGUUGCCGAAUUCAGUCAAUAUAAACACAAGUUCAGAGAAAUAAUUUUUAAAAGCCCUGAGGUCCUUUUACUGAGAUGGAAAAUCAAGUAGUCCAGCCAAAAGGAGGGGUGAGGGAAGGGGGAAUACAUAAAGCACUUAGAAAGAUUUUCAAAGCAGGUAUGAUAGAUAAGCUACAAAAAGUUUUCAAAACUAACAACUGUAAUUCUAUUUUAAUCAGCUACUUAGCUGGUACCCACUGCUAUAUCACCUAGUGUGAAAUUUUGGAAUUAUGGAGCAAUGGAGGUACGCUGGAAGCUCUCAAGUGGGCGUGGAAGGUCUCCAGUUUGUGCAGGCAUUCUGCUGUGAAAAUGAACUGACCUUAUUUAAUGGUGAAGUCAUUGGAAAUUUUACCAAUCAAGAGAGGUUUCUCUCUUUGAGGGUAAGAUGUAAUUGAAGUAUGAUAGAACUAGGACUUUACUUAAUCCAGCUGCCCAGUUUUACAGAUUAAAUAUGUUAGUAAACUGAAGCUAUGUACAUAAGUAGUUGCCCAACCAGUUUGUUAAAUAUCAGAUUAUUGAUUAGUGCUCAAUAUUUCCCCCAGUCAUUGUUGCCUCUUAAAAACAUGGGGGACAAUCCCAUUGAAUUUCUAAUUUGAUCAUGACCAGUUCAAAUAAUGUAGAUUGUUGGUUUGUGCCAGUGAAUGGUCAGAUUUUACAAGCGCUCCAUUCCAGUAACUUAACUUUAUUAAUGACCCAAGUCCUCAUAAUGUGUUGGACAUCACACAGCCUCUGUAAUACUCACAGUAAUAGCCACAAGCUGGGGAGGAGGGGGAAAAGCUUUCUGAACAGAACUGAACUAAUCUGCACCUUUCCUUUGAAAAAGAAUGCAGGACAAGGACUAAUACUUUCGAGAUAAUCUCAUUUCAGAUUCAUUUUGAUGCAUCAAAAAGGACCAAUAAUGGCCAUAAUCUCCUUUGGUGUCUUUCCUCCCCACCCCCAUGUCUCUUUUUGCAUUAAGAAUCUAUCAACCUGUUAUAUUUAAUAGAUAUUUUUCCUCCCUCAGAGACAGGGUGUGACCAUGUUGCCCAGGCUGGUCUUGAACUCCUGGGCUCCUUUUUCAUGCUCCUGAAUAGCUGUGACAACAGAUGUACAUACCACUGUGCUCAUCUUAAUAGAUUUUCUUAAGUAAUGUUGAUACGUAUUAAACAUAAAAUAGCUUCAUUUCACAAGAAAGGAAGAUAGAAAAGUAAAUAUUGGGAAUUUGAUUUUUUAAAAGUGGUGAUUUUAACUGGAUUAAUAAAAUGUAUGAUUCUGCAAUUCUUUACACCAGUCUUAACAUUUUUCUCUCUUUUUUUUUUUGAGUGCUGGGGAUCGAACUCAGCCAGCCUUAACAUUUUCAAACUAUUUUCAUAUACACUAUGUGAUUAAUUUCAAAACUAAUUUCACUUAAAAGUGAAAACACUGUAUACUUCCAAAGAUGCACUGAGAGCAGUUGAAAAGCACGUGAUUUUUGUUUUUUAGUCAGAUCUUAAAAUCCAAGAUUCUGUUUCUUAAUCUCAACAAUCUCAACAUUAAACUCAUUACUUCUUCCAAGAAAACUUUUCCAGGUAUAUUAAACAUACUGCCAAUAAAUUCUUCAUGUUCUAGAUGUGAUAACACCCACUAUAUUGUAAUACUUGAUAUGCUGGCAGUUAGCAAGUUUUCAUACAAGUAAAAAAGACUACAACUUAGACAUAAUUCAUUUACUUGAUUUUAUUGUACAUAAUAUUUUAUGUGGCUGGUCCCAGUGUUCACACUGACUUGAGGGAGAUGUUUUGGAUUUCUAUGCUCAUAGUUGUUCAAUUGCUGCUGCUGCUGCUGUUUUGUUUUCUUUCAGGAUCAAGGUGGGUGCUUUCAUAUAAAAUCUGAUUUUUAAUCCCUUCUCUGGCAAUUCUUUCCUGGAUUCUUUGCUUUGCAUAAUUAUACCUACAGGGAAACCUUGUAAGAAAAGAAAGGAUAAAUUACUCAUAUAAAGUUUCUAUAGUAAUUUAUGGAAUUUAACCUGCUCUUUAAAAUUUAAAAAUGCUUACAGGUGAUUGACUACCCAAGGCAAAAAUAAGUGGUGUAAUUUGGAGUGUUGUUUUUGGGUGGUUUGGUAUCAGAAUACUUAGGUGAGUUACAUCCAUGGAGUAUUAGCUGAGCUUAAAUGGAAUCACAUAGUAGUGUAUGUUGUACUUUGGUUUGACUUAUCUUGUCCAAAAAUACAUAUUUGAAAUUUCAGUAGAGAAGAAUAAGGGAUGAUAAACCAUUGGGGGAAGGUAAAUAUUUGAGGCCUUACUAAAAAUAGAAACUAUUAACUUAGCAUUAAUGGAAAAUCUAUUAGUAAUCUGUUCAGGCAUUCAACAAAUGAUAAGGAUAUUCAUACACAUGUACCUGCAUGUAUAAAUCGCUUUUGUAAAGGUAAAAGCAGUAUUGUAAGAUUCCCAAGAGUCUUCAAUGAGGGUUGGAAUCUUCUAAUGAGAUUUCUCUGAAAAGAGUGUGCUUUUGAAUUUUAGGUAACCUAUAAACUCAUGAAAUUUUAGGAAUACUUCAAACAUACCAACAUCCUAAAGUCACCAAGAUAAAUCCUCCUACUCCAACAUCACAUGAUCUUCUAAUUCUACCUGUUGAAAAUAAGCAUGACCACUAUAACUAGAAUAUAAUCAUAUGUGUAUGCAUAGACUAGGUAAUCCAUCUUGAAAAACUGCUCAGAGAAAUAAACAUACUCACUAGUUAACAAAAAAUGUCCAAGUCCAGCCACAACAGAUCCCAGUGAACCAUAUAAUAUCGAAUCCCGUGCACAGGGAGUGUUUUCAACAUCUAAAAUUCCUAGGAGCUUAAAGGGCUAGGAUAAAAUAGAAAAGAACCUAGAUUGAACAAGAAAAUGUUUUAGUUCAGGUUGACUUGACAAAGAUUAUAAUUAUUUGACUCUAUCACAGAGCAUAUAUAUAAAAGCAUAACUUGGGAAACAAAAGUAAAUUUAGUUUUAAAACUUAUUGAAUAGUGUUGUUAGAAAUUAAAAAGCUGUUUAGGCAAACAUCAAUUGUGGUUUUAUCAUUUCAUGUUAAUAUGAACAUGGGCAAUGCAUUUCUUCUGAUUGCUAGGGUAUUUUUUUGCCUGUGAAUUGAGUCUGCUGUAUUUGAUUGAUGAUAAGCUGGGAGUCUGCAGAGAGCUGAAUUUUUGUCUCAGUUGAUUAAAACAACUUCUCUUCCUCCACAUUUAACUGGGAUGUCUCUCACUCUUAAUUCUGUAUUUCAGGGCUUUGGGGAGAGACAGACAUUUAAAUUUAACCGACAUUUCUGUUAAACCUGGAGGGUUGGGGUUAGGGUUAGAGAAUGUAUAGAAGUGCUUAGCAGAGCAGUUAGGGUAUAAUAAGUGCUGAGUGUCGCCCAAGGGAAAAAAGUCUUAGAACAUGAGAAUGAUAGCUUUAAGUAACAUUGCUUUUUAAAGGAAGUAGCCACCUGUCCAUUUAAAGGUUUUCACAUUACUAAAGUAUAGUGUUGGGGCCAUUUUGGGAGGAUUCUAUUCUGUAGGAUGAAGAAUCCUACAGAUAACCAUGAAAGCAAUGUAUUUUGAGGGAAAAGAGCAUGAAAGAAAUGCAUAAAGGACAGGAAGAGGCAAGUCAUGUUACAUGAUAAUUGUAUUUCCAUUUAUGUUUGCUUUGGCUCAAGCAUCUGCUGGAAAAGACAAUGCCUUGGUUCAUAUUAAAAAUUGCAUACUCUUCAAUGAUGGUCUUGUAUUUCUCCUCUUUGCCUCC